AUUGAACGCUGGCGGCACGCUUAACACAUGCAAGUCGAGCGGUAACAUGGUUUGUAGCAAUACAAACUGAUGACGAGCGGCGGACGGGUGAGUAACACGUAGGAAUUUGCCCAAUAGAGGGGGACAACCAAGGGAAACCUUGGCUAAUACCGCAUAUACUCGAGAGAGGAAAGCUGCCGCAAGGUGGCGCUAUUGGAGAGGCCUGCGUCUGAUUAGCUAGUUGGUGAGGUAAAGGCUCACCAAGGCGAUGAGCAGUAACUAGUCUGAGAGGACGACCAGUAACACUGGGACUGAGACACGGCCCAGACUCCUACGGGAGGCAGCAGUGGGGAAUCUUGGACAAUGGGGGCAACCCUGAUCCAGCGAUGCCGCGUGAGUGAAGAAGGCCUUCGGGUCGUAAAGCUCUUUAGGUCGGGAGGAAGGUUGGUAGUUUAAGAGAUAACCAAUUUGACUGUACCGACAGAAUAAGCACCGGCAAACUCUGUGCCAGCCGCCGCCGUAA
rnacentral:rRNA from 1 species